GGCUAGAGCGAACGUUUGCGGCGGGCCUAACACAUGCAAGUCGAACGAGAAGCCCUUCGGGGUGGAAAGUGGCGCACGGGUGCGUAACACGUGGGUAAUCAACCCUCCAAUCUGGGACAACGCUGGGAAACUGGCGCUAAUACCGGAUACGUCAGCCGGGUCUUCGGGUCUGGUUGGGAAAGGCCGGCAACGGUCGUUGGAGGACGAGCUCGCGGCCCAUCAGCUUGUUGGUGAGGUAACGGCUCACCAAGGCAUUGACGGGUAGCUAGUCUGAGAGGACGAAUAGCCACACUGGGACUGAGACACGGCCCAGACUCCUACGGGAGGCAGCAGUGGGGAAUCUUGCACAAUGGGCGAAAGCCUGAUGCAGCGACGCCGCGUGGGGGAUGAAGGCCCUAGGGUCGUAAACCCCUUUCAGUAGGGACGAAAAUGACGGUACCUACAGAAGAAGGUCCGGCCAACUACGUGCCAGCAGCCGCGGUAAGACGUAGGGACCGAGCGUUGUCCGGAUUUAUUGGGCGUAAAGAGCUCGUAGGCGGUUGCGUAAGUCGGAUGUGAAAACUCAGGGCUCAACCCUGAGACGCCAUCCGAUACUGCGCUGACUCGAAUCCAGUAGGGGGAGUUGUGGAAUUCCUGUGUAGCGGUGAAAUGCGCAGAUAUCAGGAGGAACACCUAUGGCGAAGGCAGCACUCUGGGCUGGUAUUGACGCUGAGGAGCGAAAGCGUGGGUGGCAAACAGGAUUAGAUACCCCUGGUAGUCCACGCCGUAAACGGUGGCACUAGUGUGGGGACUUUCAACGGUUUCCGUGCCGAAGCUAACGCAUUAAGUGCCCGCCUGGGGGAGUACGGCCGCAAGGCUAAACUCAA
rnacentral:rRNA from 1 species